rnacentral:misc_RNA from 1 species
GAUGAAGAACGCAGCGAAAUGCGAUAAGUAGUGUGAAUUGCAGAAUUCAGUGAAUCAUCGAAUCUUUGAACGCACAUUGCGCCCUUUGGUAUUCCAAAGGGCAUGCCUGUUCGAGCGUCAUUUGUACCCUCAAGCUUUGCUUGGUGUUGAGCGUCUUGUCUCUAGCUUUGCUGGAGACUCGCCUUAAAGUAAUUGGCAGCCGGCCUACUGGUUUCGGAGCGCAGCACAAGUCGCACUCUCUAUCAGCAAAGGUCUAGCAUCCAUUAAGCCUUUUUUUCAACUUUUGACCUCGGAUCAGGUAGGGAUACCCGCUGAACUUAAGCAUAUCAAUAAGCGGAGGA